GGCACAGUGGAACAACUCCAACUCUAUUCCAUCAGUACUCUUCCCCAGAAUAAUGUA
rnacentral:ribozyme from 1 species